rnacentral:rRNA from 1 species
UUGACCUCGGAUCAGGUAGGGAUACCCGCUGAACUUAAGCAUAUCAAUAAGCGGAGGAAAAGAAACCAACAGGGAUUGCCUCAGUAACGGCGAGUGAAGCGGCAACAGCUCAAAUUUGAAAUCUGGCUUUUCGGG